UACGGAGGGGACUAGCGUUGUUCGGAAUUACUGGGCGUAAAGCGCACGUAGGCGGAUUUGUAAGUCAGGGGUGAAAUCCCGGGGCUCAACCUCGGAACUGCCUUUGAUACUGCAAAUCUCGAGUCCGGAAGAGGUGAGUGGAAUUCCUAGUGUAGAGGUGAAAUGCGUAGAGAUGCGGAGGAACACCGAUGGCGAAGGCAGCCCCCUGGGCCAACACUGACGCUCAGGCACGAAAGCGUGGGGAGCAAACAGG
rnacentral:rRNA from 1 species